GCCCAGGUGGCGGAAUCGGCAGACGCGGAGGUCUCAAACACCUCUGACCGAGAGGUCGUGCGGGUUCGAGUCCCGCCCUGGGCA
rnacentral:tRNA from 1 species